UACGUAGGGUGCCAGCGUUAAUCGGAAUUACUGGGCGUAAAGCGUGCGCAGGCGGUUCGACAAGUCCGAUGUGAAAGCCCCGGGCUCAACCUGGGAAUGGCAUUGGAAACUGGCGAGCUUGAGUGUGGCAGAGGGGGGUGGAAUUCCGCGUGUAGCAGUGAAAUGCGUAGAGAUGCGGAGGAACACCGAUGGCGAAGGCAGCCCCCUGGGCUGACACUGACGCUCAGGCACGAAAGCGUGGGGAGCAAACAGG
rnacentral:rRNA from 1 species